rnacentral:rRNA from 1 species
UUAGCGGCGGACGGGUGAGUAAUGCUUAGGAAUCUGCCAUUUAGUGGGGGACAACAUUCCGAAAGGGAUGCUAAUACCGCAUACGUCCUACGGGAGAAAGCAGGGGAUCUUCGGACCUUGCGCUAAAUGAUGAGCCUAAGUCGGACUAGCUAGUUGGUGGGGUAAAGGCCUACCAAGGCGACGAUCUGUAGCGGGUCUGAGAGGAUGAUCCGCCACACUGGGACUGAGACACGGCCCAGACUCCUACGGGAGGCAGCAGUGGGGAAUAUUGGACAAUGGGGGGAACCUGAUCCAGCCAUGCCGCGUGUGUGAAGAAGGCCUUAUGGUUGUAAAGCACUUUAAGCGAGGAGGAGGCUACUGAGACUAAUACUCUUGGAUAGUGGACGUUACUCGCAGAAUAAGCACCGGCUAACUCUGUGCCAGCAGCCGCGGUAAUACAGAGGGUGCGAGCGUUAAUCGGAUUUACUGGGCGUAAAGCGUGCGUAGGCGGCUUUUUAAGUCGGAUGUGAAAUCCCCGAGCUUAACUUGGGAAUUGCAUUCGAUACUGGGAAGCUAGAGUAUGGGAGAGGAUG